rnacentral:lncRNA from 1 species
CAAAACGUCUACCUGCAGUAGGGGGUGCCUCUAGCUCUGUCAGUCGGGUAGGGCUCUAGCUCGCGACGCCCUUGCCUCGAUCCUGAUCCGCGGAAGGCGCAGUAGCCGAAACCUGUGGCUCUGCAAAACAAGAGUAACAACUGGGCGUGAGAACUACUGUAAAAACAAGUAGUCCUCAGUGGGUACCGCCCAAACAACAUCGGUCACCCACUAAGUCUACAGAAGGGAGCAAGAAUAGUAGGAAAAGCAGGAAGUACGCUCUACCGCUAUCAAUCACUACACUAUCAUGCUCUACACUAACCAACUGUAGAAAAUGUCAAUCUGACCCAAUCCAAUCGGGACUAUAAACAUACCCGUCCCUGGGACUGUGAACACACCCGUCCCUGCCCCGUUGCGACUAUCCAGCUACCUCCACACCAACUGGUCCGUGGAGAGCAAGUCCAACUGGCAUGAGCGACACCAACGCGAAAGCACAAGCCUGACUCCGGAGUGGCACUCGUGGGCGCUACCCAACCGAGUAUGCAGCGUAUCUCUGUCGAGCUCAAACAGGCUCCAACUAGCCAAAGUCAAGUAAUCGACUCAAAAUGGUCUAACAACCAACAGGUAAGUGCCCUCGGCACAAUCUGACGCCCAAAAAGGCGAUACGGGUCCACCGUCAACUCUGACGGCACCCAACAGUCCGAAACAACCUGAACGACCCUGUAAAAAUCCACUCGGCGCACCAGCACGAGCGUAAAUAUAUUCUAAACUACCUGAAGUACUCGUCUCGAAGAUACUGCGACAGUACAAUUUUAUAACGGCUCCUAGAGCUAAAUCAGGCAGUUUAAACAUGUGACAGGUCCAAAUCGCAGGUUUUCUCCUAAUUCAAAUUCCAAGUCCAACAUGUAUAAACUACUCAAUUUAAUAUCACAUGCUCCAAAUUCAGAUUUGCUAUCUAUAACAAAAUCCAUGAAUUCGAGCUAAAGUAAACUAUACAAAAUCUGAAAUUACACAUGUUGACUAUUGCGCACUUAGGAGUAUAAGCCGAUGAUUAACCCACCUUAGUCGCUAAUCCCCAGCAGCGAGGACGUCCCGAAGCAAAGGAACACCCUGCUGGAUCAAUCCGCAAACCUCCAAAGGCCAGAAAUCACGCUCCCGCCAAACUCUACACGUAAAAUCCGAAAAUGAGCACCGAUUCUGCCUCAAAAACAGCAGCAGAGAAGAGAAUAAUUCCGACCAAGAAAACCUCCACCAAAACCAGCAAGUAAGGGCUUCUUGGAUUCCUCUCGAAGUCCCGAAUCCAACGAACCAAGUCUCGUCGAAAUCCGAUGCUCCUACGUCGAGAGGGAGCCGAAACGCCGACGGUCGACGCUGGAAAUCAGUGAAAACAGCACCUCGAGCUCGAAUUCAAUGAAGCUUGAAGUAGAGAAGAAAUCCAUGGAGGAAUGAGAGGAUACCCACCUCAACCAGCGACUCCAAUUCCGGCACGGCGUCGAGAACGACGAAAACACUCCCUCGCCCGGCCUCCUCGCGAAACUACGGCGACGCACGUAUGCUCGGACGGCUCCGCGGCGCGAUGUCGACGACGAAAUGCUCCACACGAACUCUUCCUUGCUCACAAUCGGCUAGAGAGAG